rnacentral:rRNA from 1 species
AGCGCAGGAAACUAGCUCCGGUACUCUCGAAUGCAUUCUCAGAAAUUUNUUAAGUUUUUGGAAAUUUCCCAAACUUUUUGGGGGCCUCAAAGGAAAAUUUUUGACAAGCUGGGCCCCUUUGGGUGGCUGGCAAGGCCUUAAAAGCACAUUGCAAGUCGAGCGGAUAGAUUGGGAGCUUGCUCCCGGAGUUCAGAAGCCAGAGCGGACGNGGGUUGAGUAAGUNGCCCCUUAGGGGAGAGUUCUNGCCUUGGUUACGGGGUUUGUGGGGGGGGAAGAGGCCAGAAGCGGGUUUUUCCGACGACGAAGCGCGACGAGCGCGUAGACGUUACGCCGGCAGUACGCGUCCCGUACGCCGGNGACGGGAGACGAGGCCAGGGGGGGUUGGACGCCCCCCUUUUUUCCCGG